rnacentral:rRNA from 1 species
UACGUAGGGUGCAAGCGUUGUCCGGAAUUAUUGGGCGUAAAGAGCUCGUAGGCGGUUUGUCGCGUCUGCUGUGAAAACUCGGGGCUUAACCCCGGGCCUGCAGUGGGUACGGGCAGACUAGAGUUCGGUAGGGGAGACGUGGAAUUCCUGGUGUAGCGGUGAAAUGCGCAGAUAUCAGGAGGAACACCGGUGGCGAAGGCGGAUCUCUGGGCCAUAACUGACGCUGAGGAGCGAAAG